rnacentral:misc_RNA from 1 species
UUCUUUUUUUUUUUUUUUUCUCUCCUCGAGGGGACGAUACGUGGCGUGGUAUACCUAAUCGUUUGGUGUCAACGAGACGUACGUAAGUCGACAUAGCUCCAUGUAUAUGUUCUUUGGAGCUAGAACCCAUAAAUAGAAUGAAAUGAAAUAAUGGUGAGCCUAGGGCGACGAACAUAACAUGGCUCAAGGGUGUCUAUACAAAGCCCUUCUCUUCUUCAUUAAUAAAGAGGCAAUGCACUCUUUGAAUGGUACUUGAUUUAUAAAGAAUGAAUCUUUUGGUUAGAAGUUAUACGGACUUUAUAAAAGGAAAUGCCACACGGAGCGUGUUACGAGAUAUGGGGCGUUCUAUUCUAAUCGAAGGGUCAUACCUCUCGGCCGGCCCUCUUACGGUAAGGUCAAUGCACCAGCCAGCCAGUGUGGUGGCGAACACGCUGUGCUGUAAGCUAAACUGUUCACCUUGUAGACAGAGGAGAUAUAGAAAGUGUGCCGCGCGCGAUUCAUAAGAUUUUAUAGUAGCACCAGUAUAUUAUUUUAUUUAACUUAGCCUGCCUCUCCCAUCAUGACUUUUCGAACCAACCAACUCGGAUCUGCCCUCGCAAGUCUCUAUGCAUUUUGGGAACAGAGCAUGCAAAAUCGAGCAAUGGAUCUUAGAAGAAUUCAACUUUGAACGGCACGACUCUUUCUAUUUUUGCGCUGGCAUUUGAGUUGUCUCCCCUCCUCUUUCAAUCGACACACUCGACUAGAUAGCUCCGGUGGCCCGGCUUUUGCCUCUAUCAGGCGGCGACAGCCCCUACCCUCCCCUAGCACGCUUCCCCAAGAACCCAUUUUUCAGGAUUCGGCAGGCCCGUAAAAAAAAUGGGGAUACUUCCCAAAAAAACCAAGGGAGGCGGCAGCCCCCACCUCCACAGCCACAGCAUGGAGGAGCAGCUCCUUAAUCCGCACUACAACCAAUCCAAAUUUUCUCCAGAUCGAUAUAUGAUGAUGCUAAACCGAGACCAAGAUAGAGAGAGAGGGCUGCCCCUUUGUUGGCUCUUCGAGGCAAAAGCACUCAUAGGAAUGGUGCUAAUUCCCAUGUUCCUUCUAGUCUCGUUUGGUUUCGAGAGCCUCCCCCUCCCCGUCCUUACUCGUCUUUUGAAAGCCGUCAUCCUGGAUUUUUUUUCGUAUGCCGGGUAAAGUUCCUCACCUUUCCAUAUCUAUAUAAAUUAUUCCAUUUUUCCUCGGGUCUCUCUAUAAAACAGAAUGAAAAGCCCGGGUGGAAGCACAAACAAAAAGAGAGAGGAAAAGUCAAAAGGGGGGAAGAAGUCUAGUGCUAGUUCUUACUGAAACUUCUUUAUCUAACUUUCAUUUUUGAGUGGUUUCUUUGUUCUCUUAUUUGGAGAAAGACAAAACUUCCCUUUCUUCCUCUUCUUUCUUUUUUCUUUCUUCGACGAAUUUCGGUUAUGACCAAUGCCCCACUAGCUGAAUAGGCGUAAGAAAGCUACCUGAAAAAAGGCAAGGGUCCGAAGGAGACGAAUUGCCUUUUGCCAGAGAGAUUUUUUUAGAAAUUGGAUAAAGAAUUCAAAAAUAGAAAGAAUCUAAAUAAAGGGCCGAAGGGAAGGGGGCCCACUACUUCUUCAUUCAGGGGGGAGACUAGCCUCAUUACUUCCCACUGGGCGAGAGGUGGACCUAAGCCACCUACCCACUCAUCAAUCACGGUCUUCAGCUGACUUGCACUGAUAGACCCCUAUUGUAUUGGAAUUAGGCGCCCAUCUUUUUACUGUUGUCAACUAAUCUCUUCAAUCUUCGAUUCUACUCUAUGUUAGAACAUUUCUGUGAAUGCUAUUUUGAUCUAAGUGGUCUUAUUCUAUGUCCCGUGCUAGGAAGCAUUAUUCUUCUUUUCAUUCCAAAUUCAAGAAUACGACUGAUACGAUUGAUUGGUCUGUGUGCCUCUCUUAUUACUUUUUUGUAUUCCCUUGUUCUUUGGAUACAAUUCGAUCCUUCUACGGCCAAAUUUCAAUUUGUGGAAAGCCUUCGAUGGCUUCCUUAUGAGAACAUAAAUUUUUAUUUGGGUAUAGACGGUAUCUCUUUAUUCUUCGUGAUAUUGACCACAUUUCUGAUCCCUAUUUGCAUUUUAGUGGGUUGGUCUGGUAUGAGAAGUUAUGGGAAAGAGUAUAUUAUAGCAUUUCUAAUUUGUGAAUUUCUAAUGAUCGCCGUGUUCUGCAUGCUGGAUCUUCUACUAUUCUAUGUUUUUUUCGAAAGCGUGCUAAUCCCUAUGUUGUGCGGAGCUGAGUAUCUUCUAUUCGCUGGGAUAAAGCUUUUCCUCUGCAGGGGCCUUGUGCAGUAAACCCCCUACGGGCGGUCGUCCGUCGUCGUAAAGUAGUCGCCGCGAAGCUUUCGGGAAGAGGGGUAGUCUUGUGUGUAAGCAUAGCAUUUCUGGUCGAACCCGCCCAACCCAACAAAGAAGAACCGAACCUGACAGACACAUCUUUUUCCUUUUGGGAGGGUACUCCGAGUAGUGGGUACCUCGUAGGACCUCGACCCGCCUACUCGGGUCUUGUAUGGAUAUGCAGGAAGGGGUGCUCCUAGGUAGGUGUAGGGGUUGUGUUUGUUCGCGAGAAUGGAUUCCUCGUCAAGUCAGUUUGGGGGGUGUGGACACACUUGCGCGAAUUCGGGUAACGGCUACAAGGGAGAAAUCGAAAGGAAACUGUACCCGACCAGGGAUGGACGUAAACUCGUAAGCUACCGAGGGUAGGGAUAAUCGUCCAGGUCUUAUUGUGAAACAAAAAAGCGCCCCGCCACAGCAGGCGGGUUGGUUCCUCUGUCGUCGCCGGGGAGCUCUUGGCGAGGAGACCUUAGGAUAAGUUGCUAAAACAAAGGGGAGGGGAGGAUCGACCCGUUCAGUAAAAUUCCGAAGAAAGACUGUUGGCAGCAGGUGGAGACCCUUCUUUUCUUUGGCCCUCUUCAAAAGGAAAUGCGGGGGCGGGCUCGGCAGAGGGUUCGAGAAUAGGGUAGGGUCCUGUCCUUAAGAUUCAGAUAAAAAAAGAGUUCCAAACCUUUAUGCAUGCACCUCCGUAUAAGUGCUGCGUACAAGUUCCGGCCAGGAAAAUUGGGAAAGAUCAAACCAAUUUGAACCGCUCACAUCACAGUAGUAGUAGCGUAAAGGCCGUAAGUCGGGGGGUGGCCAAAACAUAAGGCUAUUACUUUCACAUCUCCCUCUCUCUAUCUAUAGAUAGAGAG